UCAAAGUCCCGAAGUCCACACAUACAUGACUGUCACUAUGUGUUGAGAGUAAAAAUUCAUUUUUAAAAGGCACAUCAGUGCGUAUUUAGCUUGAUGUCAAAAAUUUUGAAGUCUAGCAUAGCUAGAAGAUUUGGAAAACCUAUGUCUCCACCAUUAACUCCACUUUCUAUACUGAUCCAUUGCUUAAUAAGUCUAUCUA
rnacentral:lncRNA from 1 species